rnacentral:tRNA from 1 species
GGGGUCGUAGCUCAGCUGGGAGAGCGUCUCGUUCGCAAUGAGAAGGUCGGGAGUUCGAUUCUCCUCGGCUCCA